GGGUAUCUUAACUUAAAAGGACAAGGGUAUUAUAUGGGAAACACAAAUGCCUGCUCUAUCCCGAUGAAACUGGCCCUAAAUAUAUCGGCUUCCAUCGUCUUCUUGGUGUCUGUGUAUCAUAUCAUCAUACCAACUGCCUCCAUCUCCUCUGAUCGCCAUCAUUCCCAUUCCAAACCCUCGCCUCCAACCUUAUGUCGAUAACCUAAUCAUUCACGAGCAUAACGCAGUAACCCCCGCCGCCACCAACGAUACUCGAACAAUUCAUGAAGAAAGCACAAACUCGAUUGGAUUCAUUGUGGACAAUAUGAUUCAGUUCAAACCACAAAUUCCUCAAAGUUAGAACAUCUCGAUUGAAACUAAAGGUACCGUUCUAUCUAACACCACUAUCAGUUAAUGGAAAAAUCCCCAAAUUAGUCUAUCUAUCUCUCUCUUGCUUAUGUGUUCUCCACCGAUACUCUCCUCUAUGAUUGCCUCCCUCCGCCUAUCAAUAAAAUCGAAAAACCUAAUCGUUGGAUUUGAAGGAGGUCAAUAAUCUGAUUUAUUGCCCUAAACGCUCAACUAUACAUCCACAGGAUGUCGGUGGCAUUCGUUUACAACAUGGUCAUCAUAAUCAGAGACGUAAUUGAAUUUGAGAUAAACAAAAUCCACGGGUGAGUAUAGUUUCUAUUUCUCAAUUCACCAUGUUAAUGUGUUAUUUCACCGGAUGAUGAUCAUUGAUCAAUGUGUCUGAGUUGUGGAAUCAUAACCUAAACGUAAGGGUUUUUUGGGACAAUGUGUUUGAGGUGGUGUGAUUUAUAUGGUUUUUUCCCUCAUUUGUUUUUACCGCUUCAAUUCAAUUCUUUGUAUCCAUUUUAUAACUUAUAACACAACCAUUCUCCUUCAUUGUUGACGGUUGACUAAAUACUUGUAUGAUUUCUUGGAAAUAAAUAAGAGAAUGUCAUUGGUGUGCAAUUCUUUUUUAUGUCAAAUCUAUGUUUUUCACUUCUUCUACCAUUUUAAUGCUAAAAUUUGUUAACUAAUCAACCAUUUUGUGUAGAUUUUAACUGCUAAAUCAGGAAAAGAAGAUUAUCAAGAUACAUCCUAUAUCUUGAGACAAGCUUCACCUUUUAAGAAUAUCAAGUAUGAGAAUUUAAAAUUGUAUAACAUUUUGUGUAUAAUCAUUUUUAAGCACAUAAAUUAAAAUAUUAAAGAUAGUGACUUACGGUUUUCUGUUUUAGGUUUGAGAAUAUUGAAGAACAGCCUACCAAUGCAUUUGGCAACANUAUUCAACUCGCUUCAUUUCUAAUUUGAUGCAAAACUUUCCUCAAUCACUGAUGGUUUAGUCCGUUUUUGUUCAUGAAUAGUUGCCCCAUGCAUGAAGUAGAUCAAAUAUUUGCACACUAGUUGUUUGAUUAAAUGCCCAAGAAGGAUUUAUACAUGUGAUUCACAUGUAAAUCACAUGUGAUUCACAUGUAAAUCACAUGUGAGUCAAAUGUGAAUCACAUUUUAUUCACAUAUUAAUCACAUGUAAACCACAUGUGAUUCACAUGUAAAUCACAUGUGAUUCACAUAUGAAUCACAUGUGAUUCACAUAUUAAUUAUAUUUGAUUCACAUGUAAAUCACAUGUGAUUCAUAUGAAAAUCAAAUGUAAUUCACAUAUGAUGUCAUAUGUAAAUGUGAUUCAUAUGUAAAUCGCAUGUGAUUAAUAUGUGAAUCUCAUGUGAUUCAUAUGUUAAUCACAUGUAAGUCACAUAUGUAUUUUUGUGAGUGUUUUUGCAUUAAUCAUUUCUUUUUUAACUUUCUUAUAGAUUUGGAAGAAAUUGUGGUGAAUAUUAAAGAGGUGAAAAAUGAUAUAUUGAAGGAAAUAUGGAAAUAUUGACAAGAAAACAUGAAAACGAUUUGAUAUUUUUUAGCAACUUUUUGUUUUUUAUAUUUUAUAUUAUAUCGAAUAAAAUACUUAUUGUACUAUGUUUAUAUAUUAGUAAAUAAAAUGAGUUUUCUUAUGAUUUCCAUACAAAUAUUAUAGUAUAUGAG
rnacentral:lncRNA from 1 species